CUCUGGGCCUAGAACGAGAUGUUGAAGCAACGAUCGCAAAUUGUUGUUUCAACAUUAUCGCCAAGGCUGCAAAUGCACGUGGCAUUGCAACCAUGGCUGUGGAUGCCUAUGUGGUGGUCACCUGGCUUCCUCCAUAUGAGGCUUCUCCGAUUGCUGAAAUGAUUUGUGACUUUGCAUCCAAAGACGUGGUGCUUCUCCCUGCCUGGCAACCGGGGCACUGGACAUUGUGUUAACCUGGCACAUGCUGUGUCCAAUGGACCAUGGAAGUCAUUUUACUUGGCUGACGAGGGCGCAUCUCCCCAGCAUCAGAGCAACAGCUGUGGUGUGUUUAUGCUGAUGUAUGCAAUGUAUUCUAGCCUCCAAAAGCCAUACGAUUUUGUUGAGGUG